UCUCCUGUAGCUCUGUAGUAGAGCGUCCGACCGGUGUGCGGAAGAUCACAGGUUCGACUCCUGUUGGGAGAA
rnacentral:tRNA from 1 species